UACGGAGGUUCCAAGCGUUAUCCGUGAUCAUUGGGUUUAAAGGGUCCGUAGGCGGGAUAAUAAGUCAGUGGUGAAGGUCUGCAGCUUAACUGUAGAACUGCCAUUGAUACUGUUGUCCUUGAGUAAUUAUGAAGUGGUUAGAAUAUGUAGUGUAGCGGUGAAAUGCAUAGAUAUUACAUAGAAGACCGAUUGCGAAGGCAGAUCACUAAUAAUUUACUGACGCUGAUGGACGAAAGCGUAGGUAGCGAACAGG
rnacentral:misc_RNA from 1 species